UACGUAGGUGGCGAGCGUUGUCCGGAUUUACUGGGCGUAAAGAGCGCGCAGGCGGUCGUGCAAGUCGCGUGUGAAAGCCCCUGGCUCAACUGGGGAGGGUCACGCGAUACUGUUCGACUCGAAGGCAGGAGAGGGAAGUGGAAUUCCCGGUGUAGUGGUGAAAUGCGUAGAUAUCGGGAGGAACACCAGUGGCGAAGGCGACUUCCUGGCCUGUUCUUGACGCUGAGGCGCGAAAGCUAGGGUAGCAAACGGG
rnacentral:rRNA from 1 species